UCUCCCAGCUUCUAAGCUUCGUUUACGGUGUGGGAACAGGUUCAACAGCUGAUUUUUAUUACGUAUUGCAUUUUCGCAGGUAAAUCCCACGGGCAGAUUACAUUUCGAAUCCUUUUCCCCGACGACGACGCAAUCAAAGGGGAUGGCGCCAUCCCCUUUUAGCCAGUCCCAGACAAAGGAUCUGACACGUACCAAAAGUACCUACACUCUUUGUCUGUCCUACGAAAAGCACUUGAUACAGCAGAAGGAACCUUAAAAGUUACCCCCUUUUAUAUCCCCGUUCGUACCUGCUUCUAAUGGUAACAACUGUUGGACAACAACUCGACCGAAAGGGGACAAGAAGAAAGCACAUUGCGAUGAUUGCAAUUGCGGAGCUUCUUUUCAAAUAUGUAUGAAAAGGGUCAAAUAUGCAGUCGAUGAAGCGUUACAGCUAGUGCCAACACAGGACCGCGGACAGAGGACGACACGGGUUUUGGGCCGGUGUCCUGGAAAACGGGGACAGGGUGGCAGAUUGGUCAAUCAGUACUUGAAGUGUUGGGUGUUUUUUGGACUCCAAUUGAGAUAACUUAACUUUUAUUUAAAUAACAAUUUAUACAUCAUUUUUGCAGUUGUUUGUUUUCGCUGAUUGUUACACUAAGUCACUUCGUAGAAUUGGAAAUUGGUUCUAAAGUUGAGAGAUAUCGGCAUUUAGAAAUUUGACGAUAUUUGAGUUACGUUCAGGAACACUAUUUUUAAGGAGUUACAUACAUGUAGAAAAUCUCUAAAUUUCAAAUUAAAAAUAAUUAUCUAAUCCACUUAAAAGAUGAUUUUCAAGCACUCAUGUUACAGACAAUUUAAGCUCCAAAUUUUGCCAUGCGCAAAGCGAACUGUCAAACUUUGGGAGUGUUUUUCUCUGAACACCAAGUUGAUUUACGGGCGCCACGAUAUCUCGAGAUGGGAAACUUUGCACUUUCAAAAAAUACAAGAAUAAAAACGGGCGAUAUUUUAUAUGAAAAACUUAAAAGUAUUUUUAUCUUUUUUUAAAAUAUACUUUUUGAAAAUCAGCCUUCGUCAUGCACACGGGACCGAUGUAAUGAGGCUUCACCAAAAUUUUGAGCCGAUUUGGUCAAGGCAGUGUUAAGAUAUCGAGGCACCCGUUUUUUGAAAAUGCUUACUUCUUAUAGCUGUAUCUCGGCAAUGAUACAACCAAAUGUCUUCAAAUUUAUUUUGUUAAUAGUUAAAAAUGUAUUUUUUAUUGUCCUUGGGCAUGAGUAAGGACCUCGACGCCGUUAGCAAUGUUGGCUUUAAAAUAAAAUUUCGUGAUAAUAUCACUUCCCCCCAGCCAACAUUUUUGCCAUGCGAAGCGGGCCUCGACGCUGUGUCUAGGUUUAAUUCCUAGCUAGGAGCCAUCAGUGUCUUAAGAGGUGGUCCCAAGGCCGAGUAGGAGUUCAUGAAGCAAAUUAGUCGUCUCCCACCCCUUUUAAAUUGAAAAAUGAACUCUGAAACCAGCGCUUACUCACAACAGAAACAGAGGCCUCUUCUAGGCAUUGUAGGAUAGAAUAGAUUUUGAAAUUUAUUUAAAAAAAAUAUUAUUACGUAGCAUUUUGAUAUGUCAAAAUUUCCAUAGA